AUGGAGGAGAGGGCGAGAUAUUGUAGAGAGAUUUUCUUGAAUUCUUUGGUGGAUAAAGAUGAAGAUAGACAAGUUCAGAGAGAAAGACUGAAGAAGAGAUUUUUUUCUUAUGAUUUUUAUGUUGGGGAUUCUUCAUCUCGGUUGAAGAAUGAUGAAGAGAGUGAAGAAUUGGUUAUAGGAGAAAGAAUCAGACCUGGUGGAUGGUGGAAGGAAGAGCCAGUAAAAAGUUUGGGUUAUCACUAG